rnacentral:rRNA from 1 species
AGCGAACGCUGGCGGCAGGCCUAACACAUGCAAGUCGAACGAACUCUUCGGAGUUAGUGGCGGACGGGUGAGUAACACGUGGGAACGUGCCCUUUGGUACGGAAUAACUCAGGGAAACUUGAGCUAAUACCGUAUGUGCCCUUCGGGGGAAAGAUUUAUCGCCAUUGGAGCGGCCCGCGUCUGAUUAGCUAGUUGGUGAGGUAACGGCUCACCAAGGCGACGAUCAGUAGCUGGUCUGAGAGGAUGACCAGCCACAUUGGGACUGAGACACGGCCCAAACUCCUACGGGAGGCAGCAGUGGGGAAUCUUGCGCAAUGGGCGAAAGCCUGACGCAGCCAUGCCGCGUGGAUGAUGAAGGUCUUAGGAUUGUAAAAUCCUUUCACCGGUGAAGAUAAUGACUGUAGCCGGAGAAGAAGCCCCGGCUAACUUCGUGCCAGCCGCCGCAGUAACAC